rnacentral:rRNA from 1 species
AACGAACGCUGGCGGCAUGCCUAACACAUGCAAGUCGAACGAGACCUUCGGGUCUAGUGGCGCACGGGUGCGUAACGCGUGGGAACCUGCCUUUAGGUUCGGAAUAACUCAGAGAAAUUUGAGCUAAUACCGGAUGAUGUCUUCGGACCAAAGAUUUAUCGCCUUUAGAUGGGCCCGCGUUGGAUUAGCUAGUUGGUGGGGUAAAGGCCUACCAAGGCGACGAUCCAUAGCUGGUCUGAGAGGAUGAUCAGCCACACUGGGACUGAGACACGGCCCAGACUCCUACGGGAGGCAGCAGCGGGGAAUAUUGGACAAUGGGCGAAAGCCUGAUCCAGCAAUGCCGCGUGAGUGAUGAAGGCCUUAGGGUUGUAAAGCUCUUUUACCCGAGAUGAUAAUGACAGUAUCGGGAGAAUAAGCGCCGGCUAACUCCGUG